rnacentral:rRNA from 1 species
UACGAAGGGGGCUAGCGUUGCUCGGAAUUACUGGGCGUAAAGGGCGCGUAGGCGGACAGCUUAGUCAGAGGUAAAAGCCCAGGGCUCAACCUUGGAACUGCCUUUGAUACUGGCUGUCUUGAGUUCGGGAGAGGUGAGUGGAAUGCCGAGUGUAGAGGUGAAAUUCGUAGAUAUUCGGCGGAACACCAGUGGCGAAGGCGACUCACUGGCCCGAUACUGACGCUGAGGCGCGAAAGCGUGGGGAGCAAACGGG